rnacentral:rRNA from 1 species
GACGAACGCUGGCGGCGUGCUUAACACAUGCAAGUCGAGCGGAAAGGCCCUGCUUUUGUGGGGUGCUCGAGUGGCGAACGGGUGAGUAACACGUGAGUAACCUGCCCUUGACUUUGGGAUAACUUCAGGAAACUGGGGCUAAUACCGGAUAGGAUCUCCUGCUGCAUGGUGGGGGAUGGAAAGUUUCGGCGGUUGGGGAUGGACUCGCGGGUUAUCCGCUUGUUGGUCGGGUAGUGGCGUACGAAGCCUUUGAAGGGUAGCCGGCGUUGGAGGGUGACCGGCCACAUUGGGACUGAGAUACGGACCAGAAUCCUACGGGAGGCAGCAGUGGGGAAUAUUGCACAAUGGGCGGAAGCCUGAUGCAGCAACGCCGCGUGCGGGAUGACGGCCUUCGGGUUGUAAACCGCUUUCGCCUGUGACGAAGCGUGAGUGACGGUAAUGGGUAAAGAAGCACCGGCUAACUACGUG